GCCUCUCCUUCACACGCACCACCACCGUCCUCCUGCUGGCCCAGCCGCGAGCACCAUCAUCACCAACAUGAUGAGAAACAACAGAGAAAUAGAGGAGAAACCAAACCCUAAAACCGCCACCUUCAAGCUCCGAUCUCCGGCGAACCACUGAGCUUUUGGAGAAAUCAACACCACCGUUGAACUCCCCUCAUCAUCAGCUUCAAAACCCCUCAAUCAAUUUGACGAUCGACCGUCGUCACUACGGCGAAACCCGCCACCGCCGCCUCCGGCGUCUUCUCCGGCGAGCUUUGUUCUGAGAAAGAAGACCAAUUUCUUGAAG
rnacentral:lncRNA from 1 species